rnacentral:tRNA from 1 species
GUGGCUGUAGCUCAAUUGGUUAGAGCACCAGACUGUGGAUCUGGUGGUUGGCGGUUCGAUUCCGCUCAGCCACCCCA